UAUAUAUAUGUGUGUGUAUGUGUGUGUGUAUCUAUAUAUAUUUAUAUAUACAGACAUGGCUAUAUGGGUAGAAGUUCACUUUACAAUCAACAUGGUUUGGGGUUCAGUCUCACUGCAUAGUUCUUUGGGCAAGUGUCUUCUUUCAACCUACAGGUCAACCAAUACCUUUUAAUGGGAUUUUGUUAAUGUAAGCUACAGGAUAGCUUGUGUGUGCCCGUUGGGCAUUUGUGUGCAUGUAUGUGUGUGUGUGUAUGAGUAUUUGUGUUUGUUUUUUUCACCACUUGACAAACAGUGUUGGCUUACUUUCAUUGCUGUAACUUUGGGCUAGAAGAAACCGCUACAAUAACUAACAGGUAUAACACGGAAAAUAACUGGUAUCAGUUUAAUCAGAUAUAACUGUCAAGGCAGUGCCCAGCUAUGGCCACAAUCCAAUGACUUAAACAAGAAAAAGUGUGUGAGAGAGAG